rnacentral:rRNA from 1 species
UACGUAGGGGGCAAGCGUUGUCCGGAUUUAUUGGGCGUAAAGAGCGUGUAGGCGGCUUUACAGGUCCGCUGUGAAAACUCGAGGCUCAACCUCGAGACGCCGGUGGAAACCGUAAGGCUAGAGUCCGGAAGAGGAGAGUGGAAUUCCUGGUGUAGCGGUGAAAUGCGUAGAUAUCUGGAGGAACACCGGUGGCGAAGGCGGCAUCCUGGACCGGCAUUGACGCUGAAUAGCGAAAGCCAGGGGAGCAAACGGG